rnacentral:rRNA from 1 species
UACGGGAGGCAGCAGUGGGGAAUAUUGCACAAUGGGCGCAAGCCUGAUGCAGCAACGCCGCGUGAGGGAUGACGGCCUUCGGGUUGUAAACCUCUUUUAGUAGGGAAGAAGCGAGAGUGACGGUACCUGCAGAAAAAGCACCGGCUAACUACGUGCCAGCAGCCGCGGUAAUACGUAGGGUGCAAGCGUUGUCCGGAAUUAUUGGGCGUAAAGAGCUCGUAGGCGGUUUGUCGCGUCUGCUGUGAAAACCCGAGGCUCAACCUCGGGCCUGCAGUGGGUACGGGCAGACUAGAGUGCAGUAGGGGAGAUUGGAAUUCCUGGUGUAGCGGUGGAAUGCGCAGAUAUCAGGAGGAACACCAAUGGCGAAGGCAGAUCUCUGGGCUGUAACUGACGCUGAGGAGCGAAAGCAUGGGGAGCGGAACAGGGAUUAGAUACC